rnacentral:rRNA from 1 species
UACGUAGGGAGCAAGCGUUGUCCGGAAUCAUUGGGCGUAAAGCGCGCGUAGGCGGCCCUGUAAGUCCGUUGUGAAAGUCAAAGGCUCAACCUUUGAAAGCCGAUGGAUACUGCAGGGCUAGAGUCCGGAAGAGGCGAGUGGAAUUCCUGGUGUAGCGGUGAAAUGCGUAGAUAUCAGGAGGAACACCGGUGGUGUAGACGGCUUUCUGGACCGUAACUGACGCUGAGACACGAAAGCGUGGGUAGCAAACAGG